CUUGGGUGAAUUGAAAGCAGAUUUUUGGAUUUAUGUACAUAUGGAACAUACAGAUGUACUUGUAUGGCAGAUAAAACUCUAGGUCACAGAGACCCAAUUACAGAGUGUGUGGAUCCUAUGGAUUGUGUCCUUGUCCCUUUAGAGGAAGUACAUUUAAGAACAUUAACUCAAGGCCUGCCUAUUGAACUAGAGAGUCGACAUUACUUCAGAUACUUCAGAUGUAUUCAUAUCCACUCAGAAUUACUUUCCACCCUCAAGAGGAGAGCCCACAACCUGAAUGGCUAUGAGUGCUGCAGUGGCUGCUGAGCAUCAGGCAAGCGAGAGCAGCAGUGUAGAUCACAGCCCAAGACCAUUGAUGUAGCGGAGUUAUUAAUUUUCUCUUGUGAAAUGAGAGGACAUGAGGUAUAAACUAGGGGGAGAUGGGUGCUUUUGACAUAACACCAGCCAAUCAGUGGCAGUAAAGUAAGCGAAGGGCUGUCACAUGAGUACUAGAGCUACCCAAGGACUUAACCCUCAAAAGAUAUACUGGGGGAGAGAGGGAUAUGGGAAGCGAAGGAGGAAAAAAGAGAGGCAGAGAGAGAGAGAGCAUAGGCAAAUUGGUGUUUUUCUGGUAUUAAAUGGUAAACAACUCUGUUUUUAGUUGUUUUUAUACUGCAGGACUGGCGUUCUUGUGGAUUGUGGUGGGAUUCGGUGUUUCAGUGUCGGCCUUUUGUUCUCCUCAAGCACUUGGGCUCCCUGAACGGUUGAGGCCAUCGUUGGAGCAAGCAAGGAAAAAAUAAUACCAGAGAUGUCUAAAAGCAGAGGCUAAAAGCGGCCUGAGCUAGCGGCCUGCUAAAAAAACAAAGCACUGCCCAGGGGAAGAGCGAAGGGUCGGGCAGCGUGGUCCGGACUUGCCACAGCCGCGUCUCUCUGCGUCCCCUCACUCCCUUUCUCACCUAUAUGUAGACGAAGGCUCACAGCAGGGCAGUAUAGCAGAUCUGACCACAGGUAAACAUGGCCACACCACAAACGUGCUCACCUAGCACCAUAAUGGACAAAAAUACCGCACUGCAAUG